AUUGAACGCUGGCGGCAGGCUUAACACAUGCAAGUCGAGCGGGGUGAUGGUGCUUGCACUAUCACUUAGCGGCGGACGGGUGAGUAAUGCUUAGGAAUCUGCCUAUUAGUGGGGGACAACAUCUCGAAAGGGAUGCUAAUACCGCAUACGUCCUACGGGAGAAAGCAGGGGAUCACUUGUGACCUUGCGCUACUAGGUGAGCCUAAGUCGGAUUAGCUAGUUGGUGGGGUAAAGGCCUACCAAGGCGACGAUCUGUAGCGGGUCUGAGAGGAUGAUCCGCCACACUGGGACUGAGACACGGCCCAGACUCCUACGGGAGGCAGCAGUGGGAAUAUUGGACAAUGGGGGGAACCCUGAUCCAGCCAUGCCGCGUGUGUGAAGAAGGCCUUAUGGUUGUAAAGCACUUUAAGCGAGGAGGAGGCUCUUUUGGUUAAUACCCAAGAUGAGUGGACGUUACUCGCAGAAUAAGCACCGGCUAACUCUGUGCCAGCCGCCGCAGUAA
rnacentral:rRNA from 1 species